UACGUAGGGGGCAAGCGUUGUCCGGAUUUAUUGGGCGUAAAGAGCGUGUAGGCGGCUUUACAGGUCCGUUGUGAAAACUCGAGGCUCAACCUCGAGACGCCGGUGGAAACCGUAAGGCUAGAGUCCGGAAGAGGAGAGUGGAAUUCCUGGUGUAGCGGUGGAAUGCGUAGAGAUCCGGAAGAACACCGGUGGCGAAGGCGGCCUGCUGGGCAGUUGCUGACACUGAGGCGCGACAGCGUGGGGAGCAAACAGG
rnacentral:rRNA from 1 species